GGGCUGGACUUUGGGCUUGGUUUGGGCUAUAACAACUAUAUUUUAAUUUAGUAAAUUUUGAGCUCAAAUAAUCUAUGUGAUGGAUUUGAAAAGUUGAAAUACGAUGUGGAUGACUCAUCCAGGGUUGGCAAUUAAACACUAGGUCAUCCUUGAGAAUUUAAGGUCAAAGAGAUGAAUUAUGUGGUAACCAUAUGCGUAGGUUCUUGAAUAUUACCUUAUAAAUAUUCGACCUAUCCGAACGUUAGAAAUUAUUGUUAGAUGGUAACUUUGAUUAGUACAGAAAAUGAUUUCUGUACUACCGAC
rnacentral:lncRNA from 1 species